GGCUGACAUGGUAGCGUCGCUGAUCGAUAAUACUGCGUGAACCCUGAAAAGCCUUCCUCAGGUACAGCUUAUGACUACAGUAACAAACGUCGCCUGCGAUCUGCAAGAACUUCUGCUCAGCAUUCAGAGCUCGACCGCUGGUCCCACAGUGACCACUAUCUUGACUAUCCUCAGUCCAAUUUUCAACGAAUGUGGUCGUUGACAGCAAGACUCCCUCUGUAAGGAAUUAUAGGCUACUAUGAAGGUUACAGUCACAUAUUGGAGUCUUGGGAAACAGCCGCACACAUAGUAACACCAAAAUAAAGAA
rnacentral:lncRNA from 1 species